rnacentral:sRNA from 1 species
GGUUCGGGGCGACGGACUCUCCAUCCCAGAACCAUGGCCCAAUUUGUCCGUAACCUUGUGGAGAAGACCCCGGCGCUGGUGAACGGUGAGCGCGAUCUGCUGUGACUUACUCGAAGCCUCGGUUGGCCACAUUUUGGUACUACGCCAAGGUUGAGCUCGUUCCUCCCACCCCUGCUGAGAUCCCUAGAGCUAUUCAGAGCCUGAAAAAAAUAGUCAAUAGUGCUCAGACUGGUAGCUUCAAACAGCUCACAGUUAAGGAAGCUGUGCUGAAUGGUUUGGUGGCCACUGAGGUAUUGAUGUGGUUUUAUGUCGGAGAGAUUAUAGGGAAGCGUGGCAUCAUUGGCUAUGAUGUUUGAAGACCAAUCUUUAACAUCUGAUUAUAUUUGAUUUAUUAUUUGAGUGUUGUUGGACCAUGUGUGAUCAGACUGCUAUCUGAAUAAAAUAAGAUUUGUCAAAA